rnacentral:rRNA from 1 species
GCCUACACAUGCAAGUCGAACGGCAGCACAGAAGAGCUUGCUCUUUGGGUGGCGAGUGGCGGACGGGUGAGUAAUGUCUGGGAAACUGCCCGAUGGAGGGGGAUAACUACUGGAAACGGUAGCUAAUACCGCAUAACGUCGCAAGACCAAAGUGGGGGACCUUCGGGCCUCACACCAUCGGAUGUGCCCAGAUGGGAUUAGCUAGUAGGUGGGGUAAUGGCUCACCUAGGCGACGAUCCCUAGCUGGUCUGAGAGGAUGACCAGCCACACUGGAACUGAGACACGGUCCAGACUCCUACGGGAGGCAGCAGUGGGGAAUAUUGCACAAUGGGCGCAAGCCUGAUGCAGCCAUGCCGCGUGUAUGAAGAAGGCCUUCGGGUUGUAAAGUACUUUCAGCGGGGAGGAAGGCGGUGAGGUUAAUAACCUUGCCGAUUGACGUUACCCGCAGAAGAAGCACCGGCUAACUCCGUGCCAGCAGCCGCGGUAAUACGGAGGGUGCAAGCGUUAAUCGGAAUUACUGGGCGUAAAGCGCACGCAGGCGGUCUGUUAAGUCAGAUGUGAAAUCCCCGGGCUUAACCUGGGAACUGCAUUUGAAACUGGCAGGCUUGAGUCUCGUAGAGGGGGGUAGAAUUCCAGGUGUAGCGGUGAAAUGCGUAGAGAUCUGGAGGAAUACCGGUGGCGAAGGCGGCCCCCUGGACGAAGACUGACGCUCAGGUGCGAAAGCGUGGGGAGCAAACAGGAUUAGAUACCCUGGUAGUCCACGCCGUAGACGAUGUCGACUUGGAGGUUGUGCCCUUGAGGCGUGGCUUCCGGAGCUAACGCGUUAAGUCGACCGCCUGGGGAGUACGGCCGCAAGGUUAAAACUCAAAUGAAUUGACGGGGGCCCGCACAAGCGGUGGAGCAUGUGGUUUAAUUCAAUGCAACGC